rnacentral:pre_miRNA from 1 species
UAUCUCCUAGUUGUAUGGAAUGGGAUCGUUUGCCUAUGUUUGCCGCUAGGGGCGCUGUUCCAACUGCAUACAAAAUUGGGCUA